AUCUAUGGCCAUAUCACCCUGGACACAUCUCCCCUCUGAUCUGAAGCCAAAGCAGGUUUGGGUAUGGUCAGUGCUGGGACAGGAGAAAGAGCACCCGUGCAGCUGUCUAAG
rnacentral:rRNA from 1 species